CCACAUUUUACACAAGUACCAAAUUUGGUGUGAAUGAUAUCUUAAUGAAAGACGUUAUUUCUAAUGCCAGGAUCCUAUUAGAAGCGCAAUAAUCGACUCAUGUAUACGGGUGACUGACAAUGGGAGAGAAAUCAUUCAAAGAAAAGUAUUCUUCAUUUUCACACUUUACAAUACUUCUAAUCACAAUGAUCAACUAAAGUUGGGAGCAAGCAGUCCAGAAGAAGCCGCACUUCAUGUUCAUAACUUUCAGGAGGCAGCUUUAAAGG